rnacentral:tRNA from 1 species
CGCGGGGUGGAGCAGCUCGGUAGCUCGCUGAGCUCAUAACCCAGAGGUCGCAGGUUCGAAUCCUGUCCCCGCUACCA